ACAGUGGACAUGCACCUACGAUGAAAUACUUAUUUUCCUCACUGUAUAUUACUACAUACAUGCAGUACUGUGCAGGGCGAACGCACAACCCUCCGAUUGAAAGGCCUGUUCACUACUGACUGAGCUGACCAGGAACCGUCUAAUGGCUGUUAAAGAAGUGGCCCGACUGAUUUGAAGACCUGCAGCAUCAAUAACGCUGAAACAACGAGACUGUGGCGGAGAUCCUGCUGCGUAUUCAGCGCUUCCUUAGAACUUCAUAAAACUCUGUUUCAACACAUUCGUUUCUAACAUAUAGAAAACCUGCGUGAUGACGAUAACACCGUUUCAACAAUUCACUACCACAUCACAGCACAUAAGCCCCGCCCCCGCGAGCCCCCCCUGCUCCGCUCAGCGCUGUUCUCUACUGUAUUUAUUCAUUCAGUUGCCAACAGAUUUAAUAAUGUAUUCGUUCACGACGUCAUCGGGCCGUAAGGACACCGUCACCUUAACGGAGUAAAGUGAACAGUAAAGUUACUAAAACAACAUCAGCGCUGCAGUAACACCUUCACCACCUCAAACCUCCAGAGCGUGGCAGCGUUUCACUCUUCACUCAUCCAGAAAGGUCGUGAACUGCAGCGUCUGCAAAGCUGAGCUCUCCUGCAGACACCGGAGAUCUGAAGAGGAGGCGCGUAACGUCGUGUCUCUGUGGACGAUGAAGACUCGUCUCUACCUCCGAACCCCAUCGAGUACCUGGCGGCGUUCCUGCUGAAGAACAAAUCCCAGUUUGAAGAGAGGAAUUAAAGUCAUCGGAAAUCAUUUCAUACAGUAGAAACUUGUUUGUUAGUGAACUGCUACGCUGUUGUUUUUUUUUAAUCCAGAUUAAACAUGUUGAUGUGAGGAGGA